rnacentral:tRNA from 1 species
GUCUUCGUAGUGUAAUGGUAGCACACACGACACGUAUUCUAGAGUUCCAGGUUCGAGUCCCGGUGAGGGCA